GACGAACGCUGGCGGCGUGCUUAACACAUGCAAGUCGAGCGGUAAGGCCCUUUCGGGGGUACGACGAGCGGCGAACGGGUGAGUAACACGUGGAUGACCUGCCCUCAGCUCUGGGAUAAGCCUGGGAAACCGGGUCUAAUACCGGAUAUGACUCCAUGACGCAUGUUGUGGGGUGGAAAGCCUUGUGCGGCUGAGGAUGGGCCCGCGGCCUAUCAGCUUGUUGGU
rnacentral:rRNA from 1 species